rnacentral:tRNA from 1 species
GCCCCGGUGGCUUAGCGGUAUAGCACCUGACUUGUAAUCAGGAGGUCGGGAGUUCAAAUCUCCCCCGGGGCU